CACGUAGGGCGCAAGCGUUGUCCGGAAUCAUUGGGCGUAAAGAGCUCGUAGGCGGUUUGUCGCGUCUGCUGUGAAAACCUAAGGCUCAACCUUGGGCUUGCAGUGGGUACGGGCAGACUAGAGUGCGGUAGGGGUGACUGGAAUUCCUGGUGUAGCGGUGGAAUGCGCAGAUAUCAGGAGGAACACCGAUGGCGAAGGCAGGUCACUGGG
rnacentral:rRNA from 1 species